GCCCAAGUGGCGGAAUUGGUAGACGCGCUACAUUCAGGGUGUAGUGAGCGCACGCUCGUGAAGGUUCGAGUCCUUUCUUGGGCA
rnacentral:tRNA from 1 species